rnacentral:rRNA from 1 species
UACGUAGGGUGCGAGCGUUAAUCGGAAUUACUGGGCGUAAAGCGUGCGCAGGCGGUUCGUUGUGUCGGCGGUGAAAGCCCCGGGCUUAACCUGGGAAUGGCCGUUGAAACUGGCGAACUGGAGUGUGGCAGAGGGGGUGGAAUUCCGCGUGUAGCAGUGAAAUGCGUAGAGAUGCGGAGGAACACCGAUGGCGAAGGCAGCCCCUGGGCUAACACUGACGCCUCAGGCACGAAAGCGUGGGGAGCAAACAGG